UACGUAGGGGGCAAGCGUUAUCCGGAAUUACUGGGUGUAAAGGGAGCGUAGACGGUAAUGCAAGUCUGGAGUGAAAGGCGGGGGCCCAACCCCCGGACUGCUCUGGAAACUGUGUAACUGGAGUGCAGGAGAGGCAGGCGGAAUUCCUAGUGUAGCGGUGAAAUGCAUAGAUAUCACGAAGAACUCCGAUUGCGAAGGCAGCUUACCAGUCUGCGACUGACGCUCAGGCACGAAAGUGUGGGUAUCGAACAGG
rnacentral:rRNA from 1 species